AGGUGUAAGGGAGGGGCAUAUGCGGUCAUUUGCAUUAAAAAUAGAAAAUGACCCUUUCCUCCUUCCCAAGCACGCUACCGCCGAUGAGGCACUGGCGCUUCUUCAUCCGCUCCUCUCUCUCUCUCUCUCUCUCGGCCAAGAAACGCAACAUUCCGGCCAUCCGGCUCCUCUGUGCAUGCGGGGAAAGGAUCCGGGAGGAUCUACUCCGACCAGCUACUCUGCCAACCGAUCUUGUCGGGUCUAUCCUCUGCCGCGCGCGACCAUGCCGACCAUCAGUUACUCGCCGAUCUCCUCUCCGACCACUGAUCCGUUGAUUUAAUGAUGCAGGAACCCUUGCAUAUUUGACACCGUACUCGGGCGCCGACACGGCGCGUCGCUUCGGGGCGACGACCUAGCCCACCCUCGCCCACUUUUCGCUACACCCGGGUGGUUCAAGUGCAACGCGUCGCUCGUAGGGGACGCCCCAGAAAAAUUCGGAGACCUUAAGAGACCAACGAGUCGUGGCCGCCAUUGAACUUAUUAAGUUACCCCACUAGAAGGGUAAGAUUUUGAUCUAGGAUCAGGAGAUUUUUAUUAUACGAUCCUAGGGUUAUUUUGAUGUUUUGGAGUUUGUAUAUAAAUACAGUAUUUUAAUGAUGUAGUAAACUCUGGUAUUAUGUUUUAUGGUUGGAUGAUUGAGAAUUUA